AGACUGAAAACAUCCAAUGACAAAAGACAAAAAGUAAACAAAUAUUAAUAGACAAAAAAUUUUGCUAUUAGAAUAACAAUAAACAAUUGCGGAUACAUUAUUAAUAUGAUAUAUACCGUUUCAAGUACUUCCAGUUUCGACAAUUUCGCAGUAAUUUUUCAUUAUUUUUUUAAAUCCAAUAUUUUUUUUUUUUUGGGGGGGGGGGCGAAAUCUAUCCCACCCCACUUAUAAAAUAUUUGGGGGCCUCCCCCGGCCCCCCUGCUUCCUACGCCCCUGAGCUAUAGUUACAAUCUAUCACGCUUAUUGUAUAUACAUGCAUCUAAAUGUUUAAAUUUAAUUAAUAAUGAAAUGUGUUUUUGUUGAUUACAACCAGUGAGCUCGAUAUAUAUUUGGAGCGAGAACUCGAGUCCGAAAAGUGAAGCUUAGUUUCGUGUAAACCACGCAGACAAUAACAAUAGAAAGGGACUGGAACUGACGUCCAAUACCUCCUUCAAUUUCCGCCAUCUUGGCAAGGAG